rnacentral:rRNA from 1 species
UACGUAGGGUGCAAGCGUUAAUCGGAAUUACUGGGCGUAAAGCGUGCGCAGGCGGUUGUGUAAGACAGAUGUGAAAUCCCCGGGCUCAACCUGGGAACUGCAUUUGUGACUGCACAGCUGGAGUGCGGCAGAGGGGGAUGGAAUUCCGCGUGUAGCAGUGAAAUGCGUAGAUAUUUGGAGGAACACCAAUGGCGAAGGCAGCCCCCUGGGUUAACACUGACGCUCAUGCACGAAAGCGUGGGGAGCAAACAGG